rnacentral:rRNA from 1 species
CUGUGCAUGCGGCAGCUACACAUGCAGUCGACGGGCUCUUCGGAGCUAGUGGCGGACGGGUGAGUAACACGUGGGAACGUGCCUUUAGGUUCGGAAUAAGCCCGGGAAACUGGGUCUAAUACCGGAUGUGCCCUUCGGGGGAAAGAUUUAUCGCCUUUAGAGCGGCCCGCGUCUGAUUAGCUAGUUGGUGGUGUAAUGGACCACCAAGGCGACGAUCAGUAGCUGGUCUGAGAGGAUGAUCAGCCACAUUGGGACUGAGACACGGCCCAAACUCCUACGGGAGGCAGCAGUGGGGAAUCUUGCGCAAUGGGCGAAAGCCUGACGCAGCCAUGCCGCGUGAAUGAUGAAGGUCUUAGGAUUGUAAAAUUCUUUCACCGGGGACGAUAAUGACGGUACCCGGAGAAGAAGCCCCGGCUAACUUCGUGCCAGCAGCCGCGGUAAUACGAAGGGGGCUAGCGUUGCUCGGAAUUACUGGGCGUAAAGGGAGCGUAGGCGGACAUUUAAGUCAGGGGUGAAAUCCCGGGGCUCAACCUCGGAACUGCCUUUGAUACUGGGUGUCUUGAGUGUGAUAGAGGUAUGUGGAACUCCGAGUGUAGAGGUGAAAUUCGUAGAUAUUCGGAAGAACACCAGUGGCGAAGGCGACAUACUGGAUCAUUACUGACGCUGAGGCUCGAAAGCGUGGGGAGCAAACAGGAUUAGAUACCCUGGUAGUCCACG